CGCUGGCGGCGUGCCUAACACAUGCAAGUCGUAACGGGGAUUUGUUUCGGCAGGAUCCUAGUGGCGAACGGGUGAGUAACGCGUAGGCAACCUGCCCUCCGGCCGGGGGACAACACUCCGAAAGGGGUGCUAAUACCGGAUACGAAGUCUGUGCCGCAUGGUACGGAUUUGAAAGAUGGGCCUCUAGUUUAUAAGCUAUCGCCGGGGGAUGGGCCUGCGUCCGAUUAGCUGGUUGGUGGGGUAACGGCCUACCAAGGCGACGAUCGGUAGCCGGUCUGAGAGGAUGAACGGCCACAUUGGGACCGAGACACGGCCCAGACUCCUACGGGAGGCAGCAGUGGGGAAUCUUCCGCAAUGGGCGCAAGCCUGACGGAGCAACGCCGCGUGAGUGAGGAAGUUCUUCGGAACGUAAAGCUCUGUUGUUCCUGACGAACCUCCCCUCUAUCAACAACGGAGGGGACUGACGGUAGGGAACGAGGAAGCCACGGCUAACUACGUGCCAGCCGCAGC
rnacentral:rRNA from 1 species